AAAAUAAUCCUACCCUUUGUGAAUUUUGUUUGUUUGAAUAAUUUUUUUUUUUUAAAAAAUUAUUGGAGUCUUUCCCUUUAGAGUUUGCUUUUGAGUUGUAAAAGAAUUCGAAAACAUCUAAAGGGGAUGGUCAAUAAUUUUUUUGAAAAAAGACAUUUUUUAAAAUUAAACUUUUUGUAUUCAUUUGUCUAAAAAUUAUUUUUAUAAUAUAAAAACAACUUUUGACAAUGGAUCUCUUGGUUCUCGCAACGAUGAAGAACGCAGCAAAAUGCGAUAAGUAGUGCGAAUUGCAGAAUACGUGAAUCAUCGAAUCUUUGAACGCAUAUUGCACUUUUUUAGUUUACUAAAAAAGUAUGUCUGUUUGAGUAUCAGUAAAAUAUUCUCAUAAAAAUCAUUGUGUAUUUUUAUGGUUUGAGUGUUUUACAACGAUACAAGUUGUUUCACUUUAAAUUUUUUUUUUAAUAUUGAAAUUUUUCUAAUUUUAAUAAUUAAAAUUGGAUAAAAUUUUCCCGUCAAAAGGAAUAACCUAAACAAUUUUAAAUGAUUAAUUUUAGCAAAAUUUUCGAAAAAAAGGAAAAUUUUUAUUAAAAUAACUUGAUCUCAAAUCAGAUAAGAGUACCCGCUGAACUUAAGCAUAUCAAUAAGCGGAGGAAAAGAAACUAACAAGGAUUCCCUUAGUAACGGCGAGUGAAGCGGGAAGAGCUCAAAUUUGAAAUCUUCAAGGUUUUACCUGACGAAUUGUAGUUUAAAGAAGUGUUUUCUGCUGAAGUUUUGGUAAAAGUUCUUUGGAAUAGGACAUCAUAGAGGGUGAGAAUCCCGUAUUUGACCAUUAUUUUCAGCUUUGUGAUACACUUUCAAAGAGUCGGAUUGUUUGGGAAUGCAGUCCAAAAUGGGUGGUAAAUUUCAUCUAAAGCUAAAUAUUGGCGAGAGACCGAUAGCGAACAAGUACCGUGAGGGAAAGAUGAAAAGAACUUUGAAAAGAGAGUUAAACAGUACGUGAAAUUGUCAAAAGGGAAGCGUUUGACACCAGUGUUGUUUUCUGAAAAUCAAUUAAAGAUGGCUCGAUUUUGUAUUGCUGAGACCUUAAAAGCUCACUGUACAUUUUUCGUGUCUUUUUUAAUGCACUUUUCGUUUAACAAGUCAACAUCAGUUCUUUUGUUGUAAAAGGGUCAUUGGAAGGUGGCUUUCUUUUCGGAGAAAGUGUUUAUAGCCUUUGGCCUCUGCAAUCGGAGAGACUGAGGUCUGCAGCGUAGACUCUUCGGGUUAGAUACAUUUGUGCUAAGUUAUAGCUUUUUAUAGACAACUUGUUGACUAUAAUUAGUCUUGUAGCUUACUCGCUUAUGCUAUUUUACCUACGCUUAGGAUG
rnacentral:misc_RNA from 1 species